rnacentral:miRNA from 1 species
GAGUUCUGUCAUACACUCGGAC